AAGUCGUAACAAGGUUUUCCUUCCGGUUAAAAGCUGUAACCUGCUGAAGCCUGACAUGGCGACUAAAAAUAAUCAUGGAGUCUUACCGACGAGGGAGGACAAUACCGCUGAAUUGCUGUGAUCAACGAAUUGUUGUACCAGCAGCCCGUAACAGGGCCCACAGAUCAAGCCGCGGUGGUUUUACCUAGAAUAAUUAGGCAGAACUUCAAUAUGACCGGUCUCGCCUGUUGAGGGCAGAGAGUGAACGUUCCGUAGGUGAACCUGCGGAAGGAUCAUUACCGAGUUAGGGUCUUCCAGGCC
rnacentral:misc_RNA from 1 species